GACGAACGCUGGCGGCGUGCUUAACACAUGCAAGUCGAGCGGAGCGGCGAACGGGCGAGUAACGCGUGAGUAACUGCCCCCCUCCCUGGGAUAAAAGUUGGAAACGGCUGCUAAUACCGGAUAGUGGGGGAUGACUCGCGUCCUAUCGGCUUGUUGGUGGGGUAGUGGCCUACCAAGGCGACGACGGGUAGCCGGCCUGGGAGGGCGACCGGCCACAAUGGGCUGAGAUACGGCCCAGACGCCUACGGGGGGCAGCAGUGGGGAGUAUUGCGCAAUGGGGGAGACCCUGAUGCGGCGACGCCGCGUGCGGGAUGACGGCCUUCGGGUUGUAAACCGCUUUCAGCCAUGACGCGGUAGUGGCAGAAGAAGCACCGGCUAACUACGUGCCAGCCGCCGCGGUAAUUC
rnacentral:rRNA from 1 species